rnacentral:rRNA from 1 species
GUGUCAGCCGCCGCGGUAAGACAGAGGUGCCAAGCGUUAGGCGGAAUCACUGGGCUUAAAGCGUGUGUAGGCGGAUGUCUAAGUACCUUGUGAAAUCCCACGGCUCAACCGUGGAACUGCUGGGUAUACUGGAUGUCUUGAGCCAGCUAGGGGCUACCGGAACAAAUGGUGGAGCGGUGAAAUGCGUAGAUAUCAUUUGGAACGCCAAUGGUGAAAACAGGUAGCUGGGGCUGUGCUGACGCUGAGACACGAAAGCCAGGGGAGCGAACGGGAUUAGAAACCCGCGUAGUCC